rnacentral:tRNA from 1 species
CUAGGGAGAGGCCAUGGCUCAGAGGAAGAGCAUCUGCUUUGCAUGUAUCAAGUCCCAGGUUCAAUCCUGGAUAUCUCUAGU